rnacentral:rRNA from 1 species
GAUGAACGCUAGCGGGAGGCCUAACACAUGCAAGCCGAGGGGUAUGAUUCUUUCGGGGAUCGGAGACCGGCGCACGGGUGCGUAACGCGUAUGUAACUUACCCCAUUCACUGGGAUAGCCCUUCGAAAGGAGGAUUAAUACCGGAUAACACUAAGGUGGGCAUCCACUUUGGUUGAAAGAUUUAUCGGAAUGGGAUAGACAUGCGUCAGAUUAGCUAGUUGGAGAGGUAACGGCUCACCAAGGCGAUGAUCUGUAGGGGGCCUGAGAGGGUGACCCCCCACACUGGUACUGAGACACGGACCAGACUCCUACGGGGAGCAGCAGUGAGGAAUAUUGGACAAUGGGUGAGAGCCUGAUCCAGCCAUCCCGCGUGCAGGAAGACGGCCCUAUGGGUUGUAAACUGCUUUUGAUGGGAAUAAACCACCUUACGAGUAGGGUGUUGAAGGUACCAUACGAAUAAGCACCGGCUAACUCCGUGCCAGCCGCCGCGGUAAU